GUUUUGGGACGACGUGAAGGUGAGUACUUAAUGACAGAAAUUUCAUUUUUGGAUGAACCAACUAAAAUAAUAUGCUAAAUUCUAGCUGUUUAUUAAAAAUGACACUGCAUGAUAUGUGACUUAAUGAAUUGAGAUGUGGUUUUGAAAUGUGAGACCAUCUGGCAAAUUAAGCAGUUGGACUGGAAAAGAAACCUAAUUAGAUAAAACGCUUCUGGAUGUAUAUGAAGAUAAUCUAAGAUCAUUUAGUGAGCUGCGUAAUUUCUUACCCAACUGGCUCCACUAAACAGAAUUACAAAAAUAAUGUUUUCAUAAAUGUUUCCCCGCAAAACACACGCACACACAUGCUGGGUUUUUGUGUUUUAUGAGAGCUCUCGACAUCCCCUUACCAUAUCUAUAGCAUAUAAUAGCAUCUAAUUAGAACUGCAGGGUGAAAUGGGCAUAAUAGGCUUUAAUAUGUUUUAUUCCUUUCUCUUGAUUUUGGUAUGAAAUAUGACCAGGACAUGUUCUUGACAGAAUUCCCUGAGUAGGAAUAAGGGUUCUGCCAUUUUUAAUAUUCAGAGCAAAAAGGUCAAGGCUUCAAUCUAUCAAAAAUAACUAUGCCCUGAAAAUGUGAUUCAGAUGAUUCAGGUCUUUGAUUUAGGAGAUUAUUCUAUACGAGACUGUGUGACAUGGAGCGCUGUGCAUGUGAGGACAGUUACCAUAAAACUUUUCAUAGUUGUAACAGUAUAUAUUAUUUCUCAUGAAUUGCUCUGAAUAAUCCCUUGAUAAUUGUGUAUCUUACAGUUUCUGAGGAGGAUUGUUGUGGAUCUGUCUCAUGCCAAGAGAGUAACCGUGAACAUUCCAUCUUUGCUUUCUGGAAGGAAGGCCAAGUGAAGAGUCUUUAACAAUCUCUUCAGUCUUUUAUUCCAUUCAUCAUCCAUAUAUAAUAAUCUAGUCACAUUCAUAGAUUCUUAUUUGCUUAUACUCUUCAUAUUCAUUUGUACUUUACAUUUAUAUUUAUAUUUUACAUAUAUGUUGGUUUUGUCUUGCUAAAUGUCUCUGUAGUUGUAAUAGGCAUAAUGCUGUAAAGGGUAAUGUUUAAGUUUCAUUAUUAUUUUCUGGUACCAGUGAGAGCUUCUCUCUGCUGGAGUGUCUGUAUUAUCUUCCAGGCUAGGUGAUAAGGAGCCGCUGCCAUGGACACUGUGUUAUCACGGGGGUGUUUUGAUACUGUAUGCUUUGAAACAUCUCGCACAGCACUUGAGGUGGCUGUUAGAUUUCUUCUCUGGCAGCACUGGUAAUUAUGGAAGCUUGUUUAGGACUAUUCACUUAACCUGUUUCCACAAUAUUUUUAAUUAAUGUUAAAUAGUGCUGGCAGCAAUGCAGUCUACAGUACAUCUAUCUAUCCUAUCUAUAGGACAGAAGAAGUGUUUCCAUCCAUCUUCAUGACAGACAGAUGUUUGUCAAUGAAAGCUGGUAACAGACAGUCAGUCAGCAUAAGGCCUCACAGAUGAAAAAUAAAGGAUUUUAUGAUUGAAUAUCACAAAAUAUGCCAGGUCAUAUUUGAAAAAUCAAAAUCAAUAGAAAAAAUAAAAAAUGGUAUUUCUCUCAAAUAAAAUAAAGCUUACUUUUAGUAAGAAUUUUGCACUCAAUAAUGUGUUCAAAAGUUUGGAGUCAGUUUUUUUCCAUGAAAGAAAUUAAGAUUUUAAUUUUAAGAGAUCGUGUGUGAACAGGACCUUUUCAAAAAUCCUGGUAAAUUGGUCUGGCAAAUUACCUGUAGGCCUAUGAGAAGUUGUAACAUUACCAGUAAAUUACGCGUAUGAUGCUGUGUGUGAACAAAGAAUGAAGACACUUUCAUGUCUUUAGAGAAAACAAUGUCAUAUUAUGAAUAAUUGUCUGACAGACUGCAACUCAAGUCGAGGAUUCCACAGGGAAAAGAGAAGGAAGAGGGAAAUAUAGAGCCUAUUUUCAGACGUAUCUAUCUACUGUAACUAUACCUCAUCAGAAAAUUUUACUGGGGCACAGCAAAAAAGGGUCAAGUGACACCACUGCUUUUCACUGUUUUUCAAUGUAAACAUGCGCUAGAAGAAUAUCUGACCUUUGCGCCACGUGUCACGCUUGAGAACCUGCCUUUUUUUCCUGUUGUAUUCUAUAGUAACUGCAAUACUAUAGUAACUAUUAUGUGUCUGGUGUUUUUUUUAAGAGCAAAAUCGCUUUCAGUGUGAUUACACCUGUCACUCGGAAGAAAAAUAUAAGAUGGAUGAAGAAAAUGGCUCAGCGUUUAAAGUUCAUCUAGUGAGCAUUGAGGGGGAUGGUGUUCUGGACAGCUGCCCUGUCUCUCUCUUAGAGUCUGGCGUUGGGCCUUUUCCUGUCUGUGUGCAUGCAUUCAUACCCAUCAUGUGCCAAGAUCAGCAUUCAGGAGGAGACCCGAGGCCUGCCACACCAUCAGAGGGCUGCACGAGGUGAGAAGAAGCCAAGGCUGUCAGACCUGGGCCCCGUGCCUGAGCCCCUGCAGCCCUCUACAGCUGCCUCGACCAGUGCGUACUUCCAUCCCAAACACUGUUCUGGUGUGACAUCUCUCCUGCAUGCUCACAGUCUGGCAACUUGUUUCUUACUGACAUUUAAUUUCUCAGACCUUCCUGAUGUAACCGAAUUACAGGAAUCAUUCACAUUUUAUCAUUUACUCACCAUCAUGUCAUUUCAAUCCGUUUGAUAUUCUGUCUGUACUAUUAAAUCUCAAAGAAGAACAAAAAA